rnacentral:rRNA from 1 species
GAGUUUGAUCCUGGCUCAGAUUGAACGCUGGCGGCAGGCCUAACACAUGCAAGUCGAGCGGUAGAGAGAAGCUUGCUUCUCCUUGAGAGCGGCGGACGGGUGAGUAAUGCCUAGGAAUCUGCCUGGUAGUGGGGGAUAACGCUCGGAAACGGACGCUAAUACCGCAUACGUCCUACGGGAGAAAGCAGGGGACCUUCGGGCCUUGCGCUAUCAGAUGAGCCUAGGUCGGAUUAGCUAGUUGGUGAGGUAAUGGCUCACCAAGGCGACGAUCCGUAACUGGUCUGAGAGGAUGAUCAGUCACACUGGGACUGAGACACGGUCCAGACUCCUACGGGAGGCAGCAGUGGGGAAUAUUGGACAAUGGGCGAAAGCCUGAUCCAGCCAUGCCGCGUGUGUGAAGAAGGUCUUCGGAUUGUAAAGCACUUUAAGUGGGAGGAAGGCAAGUAAAUUAAUACUUUGCUGUUUUGACGUUACCGACAGAAUAAGCACCGGCUAACUCUGUG